UACAGAGGUCUCAAGCGUUGUUCGGAUUCAUUGGGCGUAAAGGGUGCGUAGGCGGCGCGGUAAGUCGGGUGUGAAAGCCUUGAGCUCAACUCAAGAAAUGCACUCGAUACUUGGUGACUAGAGGACCGGAGAGGAUAGUGAAAUUCCCAGUGUAGUGGUGAAAUACGUAGAGAUUGGGAAGAACACCAGUGGCGAAGGCGGCUAUCUGGACGGUUUCUGACGCUAAGACGCGAAAGCGUGGGGAGCAAACAGG
rnacentral:rRNA from 1 species